AGAAUCUGGGGAUGGAAUCCAAGUACUGCUGAUGGUUAAUGCUCCCCAGAGGAUUUUAAGGCCCAACCAAGGUUGAGAACCACGGAUGGAUGUGUGGAGGCCCUAAUGACAAAGAAAACGCUGGUAACUCCACAGCAUCUCGGGGCCCUCGAUUCUUACCAUCCACAAAAUGGAUCCAGAGAGCUGCUCAAACUGGUGGGACCCACUCCAUCGAGACUUCACUGUGGCUAGACCAAAGUCACCUAUUUUUACUGUGAGGUCUUCAUGAAGAAAAAUAUCUGAGGUGUAGUAAGUAAAGGAAAACAACAGAUCUCAUUUUCCUAUCAAAGCAAGCACUAUGAAGAUUUCUGGUUUCCCUUGGGAGUUUCCUUCCUUGAAGCAAAAAUAUCCGCCUACAGAAUCAUUUAAUCUGAAAGCUGGGCAAAUCAUCUAGUAAAAUUUGCUCUCUAUGCUACUUCUUGCAAGAUAUUAUCCAAGAUUCAGCCUUUUAACAUUCUUUGUAGAGCUUAAUCUACAAAGAGUGGAUCUCAUCGUAAUUUUCUCCUUGAACAGAAGACCUGAAACCAUAAAACUCCCAGGAGCAAGCUCCUUGAGAUCGAUUUUGGUAAUCAUUUUUUUUGGAUGUGACACCAAAAGCAAAAAUAAACAACUGGGACUCGA